rnacentral:rRNA from 1 species
AACGUAGGAGACAAACGUUAUCCGGAGUUACUGGGCGUAAAGGGCGUGUAGGUGGUAUCGUAAGUCUGGCGUGAAAUUUCUCGGCUUAACCGAGGCAGGUCGUCGGAUACUGCGAGGCUAGAGGACGGUAGAGGCGUGUGGAAUUCCGGGUGUAGUGGUGAAAUGCGUAGAGAUCCGGAGGAACACCAGUGGCGAAGGCGACACGCUGGGCCGUACCUGACACUGAUGCGCGACACAUGGGGGAGCAAAACAGGAUU